rnacentral:rRNA from 1 species
GAUGAACGCUGGCGGCGUGCCUAAUACAUGCAAGUCGAGCGAAUGGAUUAAGAGCUUGCUCUUAUGAAGUUAGCGGCGGACGGGUGAGUAACACGUGGGUAACCUGCCCAUAAGACUGGGAUAACUCCGGGAAACCGGGGCUAAUACCGGAUAACAUUUUGAACCGCAUGGUUCGAAAUUGAAAGGCGGCUUCGGCUGUCACUUAUGGAUGGACCCGCGUCGCAUUAGCUAGUUGGUGAGGUAACGGCUCACCAAGGCAACGAUGCGUAGUCGACCUGAGAGGGUGAUCGGCCACACUGGGACUGAGACACGGCCCAGACUCCUACGGGAGGCAGCAGUAGGGAAUCUUCCGCAAUGGACGAAAGUCUGACGGAGCAACGCCGCGUGAGUGAUGAAGGCUUUCGGGUCGUAAAACUCUGUCGUUAGGGAAGAACAAGUGCUAGUUGAAUAAGCUGGCACCUUGACGGUACCUAACCAGAAAGCCACGGCUAACUACGUGCCAGCCGCCGCGGUAA